rnacentral:misc_RNA from 1 species
UCACCCCUCAAGCCCCCGGCUUGGUGUUGGAGGGCUUGGUUGACCGCAACGUCGACCCCUCCUAAAGACAAUGACGGCGCCCCGCGGCACCCCCGGUACACUGAGCUUUUCAUCGAGCACGUAUCGGACAAGGGUCCCCGGGACACGGUCUCUCGUUCCCACGCAUCGCGGGAAAAUUUUUUCUGAAA